rnacentral:rRNA from 1 species
UGGUAGGAUAGAGGCCUACCAUGGUGGUAACGGGUAACGGGGUGUUAGGGCACGACACCGGAGAGGGAGCCUGAGAAACGGCUACCACAUCCAAGGAUGGCAGCAGGCGCGCAAAUUACCCAAUCCCGACACGGGGAGGUAGUGACAAUAAAUAACAAUACGGGGUUCUUUCGGAUCUCGUAAUUGGAAUGAGUACAAUUUAAAUCUCUUAACGAGGAACAAUUGGAGGGCAAGUCUGGUGCCAGCAGCCGCGGUAAUUCCAGCUCCAAUAGCGUAUAUUAAAGUUGUUGCAGUUAAAAAGCUCGUAGUUGAAUUUCGGGGUUAGUAGGUUGGUCAUGCCUCUGGUAUGUACUGGUCUCACUGAUUCCUCCUUCCUUAUGAACCGUAAUGCCAUUAAUUUGGUGUUGCGGGGAAUUUGGACUGUUACUUUGAAAAAAUUAGAGUGUUUAAAGCNNNCUAACGCUUGAAUACAUUAGCAUGGAAUAAUGAAAUAGGACGUUCGAUCUUAUUUUGUUGGUUUCUAGGAUUGACGUAAUGAUUAAUAGGGAUAGUUGGGGGCAUUAGUAUUCAAUUGUCAGAGGUGAAAUUCUUGGAUUUAUUGAAGACUAACUACUGCGAAAGCAUUUGCCAAGGAUGUUUUCAUUAAUCAAGAACGAAAGUUAGGGGAUCGAAGACGAUCAGAUACCGUCGUAGUCUUAACCAUAAACUAUGCCGACUAGGGAUCGGAUGA